ACAUGCAAGUCGAGGGGCAGCAUGAACUUAGCUUGCUAAGUUUGAUGGCGACCGGCGCACGGGUGAGUAACACGUAUCCAACCUGCCGAUGACUCGGGGAUAGCCUUUCGAAAGAAAGAUUAAUACCCGAUGGCAUAGUUCUUCCGCAUGGUGGAACUAUUAAAGAAUUUCGGUCAUCGAUGGGGAUGCGUUCCAUUAGGUUGUUGGCGGGGUAACGGCCCACCAAGCCUUCGAUGGAUAGGGGUUCUGAGAGGAAGGUCCCCCACAUUGGAACUGAGACACGGUCCAAACUCCUACGGGAGGCAGCAGUGAGGAAUAUUGGUCAAUGGACGAGAGUCUGAACCAGCCAAGUAGCGUGAAGGAUGACUGCCCUAUGGGUUGUAAACUUCUUUUAUACGGGAAUAAAGUGAGGCACGUGUGCCUUUUUGUAUGUACCGUAUGAAUAAGGAUCGGCUAACUCCGUGCCAGCAGCCGCGGUAAUACGGAGGAUCCGAGCGUUAUCCGGAUUUAUUGAGUUUAAAGGGAGCGUAGGCGGACGCUUAAGUCAGUUGUGAAAGUUUGCGGCUCAACCGUAAAAUUGCAGUUGAUACUGGGUGUCUUGAGUACAGUAGAGGCAGGCGGAAUUCGUGGUGUAGCGGUGAAAUGCUUAGAUAUCACGAAGAACUCCGAUUGCGAAGGCAGCUUGCUGGACUGUAACUGACGCUGAUGCUCGAAAGUGUGGGUAUCAAACAGGAUUAGAUACCCUGGUAGUCCACACAGUAAACGAUGAAUACUCGCUGUUUGCGAUAUACAGUAAGCGGCCAAGCGAAAGCGUUAAGUAUUCCACCUGGG
rnacentral:rRNA from 1 species